ACAGGUGCUGCAUGGCUGUCGUCAGCUCGUGUCGUGAGGUGUUGGGUUAAGUCCCGCAACGAGCGCAACCCUUGUCGUUAAUUGCCAUCAUUUAGUUGGGCACUUUAGCGAGACUGCCGGUGACAAACCGGAGGAAGGUGGGGAUGACGUCAAGUCCUCAUGGCCCUUAUGGGUAGGGCUUCACACGUCAUACAAUGGUCGGUACAGAGGGUUGCCAAGCCGCGAGGUGGAACCAAUCCCAGAAAACCGAUCGUAGUCCGGAUUGGAGUCUGCAACUCGACUCCAUGAAGUCGGAAUCGCUAGUAAUCGCGGAUCAGAAUGUCGCGGUGAAUACGUUCCCGGGUCUUGUACACACCGCCCGUCAAACCAUGGGAGUGGGUCUCACCAGAAGUAGGUAGCCUAACCGUAAGGAGGGCGCUUACCACGGUGGGAUUCAUGACUGGGGUUAAGUCGUAACAAGGUAGCCGUAUCGGAAGG
rnacentral:rRNA from 1 species